GACUAAAUGCACAAAUAUCCCCUCUAGGUCAGAUUUGCGCAGGUCAUACCACCUAAACGGCGCCGUUUUAUCCUUCUUACUUAAACUCAAUUUUAACAAAAAAAAAAAACAUUUAACUAAAACAAACAAAAAAAACGCUUAAUUCUUUUUCUUUUCCUCUGCUAGGGUUUCAAAACCCCAACCCCAAAAGCCGCCGCCAGUCCCUCGAUCUCCACCGCGAGUUUCUGCGAGCAAGACGCCUCACUCCGGCUCCGAUUCGGGCAGGUCAACGCAGGUACGUGGAGGCGUGCGGAGCGGCAUUUACGGAGGGGUGGUGCGCAGACGGAGGCGCGCAAAGAGGGGUGCACGGUAGUUGCGGCGGCUGGUGGUUUCUUUCUUAGGGUUUCUGCUGAAAUUUAGUUAGUGGGCUGUUAGGGUUUGGGCCUAGAUUUAGUUUAUUUUUGUUUUGUAAUGGUCUGGGCCAAUUGGGCCUUAUUACAAGUAUCAUUAAUGACCUGUUCCCUAAAAAAAAUAUGUGUCAUCAUUGACCAAACACUCAGGCGGCAUGCUAUUAAUUUGAAUUUGUCAAUUUACUGUUAUUUAAAAA